GAAUAUUGGGCAAUGGACGCAAGUCUGACCCAGCAACGCCGCGUGAAGGAAGAAGGCUUUCGGGUUGUAAACUUCUUUUAAGGGGGAAGAGCAGAAGACGGUACCCCUUGAAUAAGCCACGGCUAACUACGUGCCAGCAGCCGCGGUAAUACGUAGGUGGCAAGCGUUGUCCGGAUUUACUGGGUGUAAAGGGCGUGCAGCCGGGAAGACAAGUCAGAUGUGAAAUCCCGCGGCUCAACCGCGGAACUGCAUUUGAAACUGUUUUUCUUGAGUAUCGGAGAGGUAAUCGGAAUUCCUAGUGUAGCGGUGAAAUGCGUAGAUAUUAGGAAGAACACCAGUGGCGAAGGCGGAUUACUGGACGACAACUGACGGUGAGGCGCGAAAGCGUGGGGAGCAAAC
rnacentral:rRNA from 1 species